UACGUAGGUGGCAAGCGUUGUCCGGAAUCAUUGGGCGUAAAGCGCGCGCAGGUGGUUCCUUAAGUCUGAUGUGAAAGCCCCCGGCUCAACCGGGGAGGGUCAUUGGAAACUGGGGAACUUGAGUGCAGAAGAGGAAAGUGGAAUUCCACGUGUAGCGGUGAAAUGCGUAGAGAUGUGGAGGAACACCAGUGGCGAAGGCGACUUUCUGGACAGGCACUGACACUGAACUACGAAAGCGUGGGGAGCAAACAGG
rnacentral:rRNA from 1 species